UGAAUUGCCACUCUGGAAUCCUUGGAACUGUGCCAUUCUGAGGGAUCUGCUUAAGGGUGCUCUGAGGUUCCUCUCAGAGGAAUGUGAGAUCUGUGAGUUGCCAGGAGGUUCAUACUGCUCACUUGUUGAGUAGAAAUUGUUCUGCUGAGCUCAGAGACUGCACCACAGCAGGGAUCUGGUUCCUCCUGGCUGGGAUGCCCAGGCAUUUCUGCCGUGUCCUCAGCAAGCCAUGGUGAUUCUCCAGCUGGAAAACUCAGGGGGCAAAUUGUGUUCUGUGCUGUUUUAAUAAGGAAGGGCACAGCUCUGUAAGUGUCCCUGUGCUUGGGUAGGUGUGGUAACUGCUCCCAGACUUCAAGGCAUAAACCUCUAACAAGUGGCAUCAGAAAGGGGUUUUCUUCCUUAUAAACAAGAUGCACCAUUUGCUGUCUUCUUCAUGUUGUAGAAGAUGGAUCUACAAGAGGCCACACUUGCUGAGCAGCUGCCAUAGCUCAGUCACUCGUGCAGAGUCUCAUCUGUAAACCCUUGUGAGGUGCUGUGUCUGCCUUCAGCACUCUGGCUGGGGGGGGGUAAAAGUGACAGACACGGGAGCACUGUAAUGAAUUGAAAGCUGCUUUAAUAAAUUCAGAAAUAAAAGGA